AACGAACGCUGGCGGCGUGCUUAACACAUGCAAGUCGAACGCGAAAGGGACUUCGGUCCUGAGUAAAGUGGCGCACGGGUGAGUAACGCGUAGAUAACCUAUCUUCACGUCUGGAAUAAUACUCCGAAAGGGGUACUAAUACCGGAUAUUCUUGCUUUUCAUAAGUUUUUCAAGGAAAGGUGGCCUCUGUAUAUGCUACUGCGGGAAGCGGGGUCUGCGUACCAUUAGCUAGUAGGUGGGGUAAUGGCCUACCGAGGCAACGAUGGUUAGCGGGUCUGCGAGGAUGAUCCGCCACACUGGCACUGGAACACGGGCCAGACUCCUACGGGAGGCAGCAGUGAGGAAUAUUGAGCAAUGGGGGAAACCCUGACGCAGCGACGCCGCGUGAGUGAGGAAGGCCUUCGGGUCGUAAAGCUCUGUCAAAGGGAAAGAAGUGCAUGAUGGCUAAUACCUGUCAUGUUUGACGGUACCCUUAAAGGAAGCACCGGCUAACUCCGUGCCAGCAGCCGCCGUAAAAC
rnacentral:rRNA from 1 species